GUUUAUAGAAGAUGCCAUUACAACCUACCUUGCUAACAUGAUUUGAUUACUUCUCUCUCUUUUAUUUUACAUUUUGCACAGCGGCUAAGUUAUAGUUCCAGUGGUAUAUUCACUUUCAUACUUACUAUUUUCAACGUGUCUGGAUUGUAGUAUGUGCCUAACAGCUUGGCUUGUAUCGAGCGUACAGGCAAGUUGGCCUAUUCUUCACACAUGAA